rnacentral:snRNA from 1 species
GUGCUCACUUCAGGAGCACAUAUACUCCAAUUGCAACAAUAAGAGAUAAGCAUGACCUCUGCGCAAGGAUGACAUACAAAUGCGAGAAGCAGUCCGUAUUUUU